rnacentral:lncRNA from 1 species
CUCUCUUCCUCCUGCUCUCUUCUCUACGGAGCCACCAUGUGAUCCUGGGAAGAGGACAACAGCAGAAGGCAUCCUUAAUAACCUCACCACUGGCUGACCGGUGAUCACACCCAGGGUUAUGAUGGUGUUGGGUGGCCCUAGGACAGCUCCAUCUUUGCCAUUUCUGGAAAUGAAUCCUUCCUAUCAGCCACACAAGCCUAGAGUCUUCCUUUCAGUUUCUUCAGUGAGAUGAAAACAGCGGCGCCCUGAUUCAGUUAUCAAAUAAGUUUCGUCUAGGGUGCCUCCACAUGAAAAGGAGAAGGACUGCCAUGGGAUGCAUGACAUCAUUUCCAUCAAUGAUGAGCCAAAAGUACACUGGAGUCCCAUGACGUUAAAAUGGAGCUGAAACACUCCUAUUCAGGAAAAGGAGAAUCUGGGUGUGGUGGUAACACAACAAAUCCAGCACUUGGAAAAGAGAAGCAGGAACUCAAAGUCACCCUUAGAUAUAGCAUGUGUGAGGCCGGCUGGACGCAGGAACUAUGUGUGAGGCCAGCUGGACACAGGAAAGCUUGUCUGAAGCCCCAUCCCUCAAAAACCCCACAGCAGAGCAUCUGCCUAACAUGUAUAGACUUUGGUUCCAUCUCUACCACUAGGAAAAAGAUUUCCAUCGUCUGGUGUCCCAGUCAUCUUUAACUGUCAACUGGACAGGGCCAAGAGUUUAGGAAGGAGUCUCAACAGAAGAAUUGCCCAGAAGAGAGUGGCCUGUGGGCAUACCUGGCAGUGAUUGCCUUAACUGAUGGAGGAGGACCCAGCCUGCUGUAGGCAGCACAAUUCUAUGGACUUGUGGUCCUGGUGUGUAUGAGAAAGCCAGCUAUGCCUCAACCUGCAAGACAUCAAGGAAGUAGCUUCUCCAUGGUUUCUGCUUGAGUCCCU